rnacentral:rRNA from 1 species
UACAGGGGGUGCAAGCGUUGUUCGGAAUUAUUGGGCGUAAAGCGCGUGUAGGCGGCUUUGCAAGUCGGGUGUGAAAUCCCUCAGCUUAACUGAGGAAGUGCGCCCGAAACUGCCGAGCUUGAGUACCGGAGAGGGUGGCGGAAUUCCCCAAGUAGAGGUGAAAUUCGUAGAUAUGGGGAGGAACACCGGUUGCGAAGGCGGCCACCUGGACGGAUACUGACGCUGAGACGCGAAAGCGUGGGGAGCAAACAGG